rnacentral:rRNA from 1 species
GUGGGGAAUAUUGGGCAAUGGGCGAAAGCCUGACCCAGCAACGCCGCGUGAAGGAAGAAGGUUUUCGGAUCGUAAACUUCUAUCCUUGGUGAAGAUAAUGACGGUAGCCAAGAAGGAAGCCCCGGCUAACUACGUGCCAGCAGCCGCGGUAAUACGUAGGGGGCAAGCGUUGUCCGGAAUGAUUGGGCGUAAAGGGCGCGUAGGCGGCCCGGUAAGUCUGAAGUGAAAGUCCUGCUUUUAAGGUGGGAAUUGCUUUGGAUACUGUCGGGCUUGAGUGCAGGAGAGGUAAGCGGAAUUCCCGGCGUAGCGGUGAAAUGCGUAGAGAUCGGGAGGAACACCAGUGGCGAAGGCGGCUUACUGGACUGUAACUGACGCUGAGGCGCGAAAGUGUGGGGAGCAAACAGGAUUAGAUACCCCAGUAGUCC